rnacentral:tRNA from 1 species
CUCUUUGUAGCUCAGUUGGUUAGAGUCCUGAACCGGUAUCGCAGGGCCGCAGGUUCGAUUCCUGCAAGAUG